rnacentral:rRNA from 1 species
UACGUAGGGUGCAAGCGUUGUCCGGAAUUAUUGGGCGUAAAGAGCUUGUAGGCGGUUUGUCGCGUCUGCUGUGAAAUUUCGGGGCUCAACCCCGAACUUGCAGUGGGUACGGGCAGACUAGAGUGUGGUAGGGGAGACUGGAAUUCCUGGUGUAGCGGUGAAAUGCGCAGAUAUCAGGAGGAACACCGAUGGCGAAGGCAGGUCUCUGGGCCAUACUGACGCUGAGAAGCGAAAGCAUGGGGAGCGAACAGG